GGAGUUUGGACCGUGUCUCAGUUCCAAUGUGGGGGACCUUCCUCUCAGAACCCCUAGACAUCGUAGCCUUGGUGUGCCGUUACCACUCCAACUAGCUAAUGUCUCGCGAGCCUAUCCGUAUCCACCGAAGCUUUCAAACAAACCUCAUGCGGGGUCUGUUGUUAUGGGGUAUUAGACGUCGUUUCCAACGCUUAUCCCCCUGAUACGGGCAAGUUGCUCACGCGUUACGCACCCUUCCGCCGGUCGCCAUCAAAGAAAGCAAGCUUCCUUCAUGCUGCCCCUCGACUUGCAUGUGUUAAGCCUGUAGCUAGCGUUCAUC
rnacentral:rRNA from 1 species